GGGAUUAGAUACCCCACUAUGCUUAGCCUUAAACCUAGAUGUUAAAUUUACAAACAACAUCCGCCAGGGUACUACAAGCGCUAGCUUAAAACCCAAAGGACUUGACGGUGUCUCAGACCCACCUAGAGGAGCCUGUUCUAGAACCGAUAAUCCCCGUUAAACCUCACCACCCCUUGUUUUCCCCGCCUAUAUACCGCCGUCGCAAGCUUACCCUGUGAAGGUCCCAUAGUAAGCAAAAUGGGUAAAUCCCAAAACGUCAGGUCGAGGUGUAGCUCACGAGGUGGGAAGAAAUGGGCUACAUUUUCUGCAUCAGAAUAAUACGAACGAUAUCAUGAAACUGAUACCCGAAGGUGGAUUUAGUAGUAAAAAACAAAUAGAGAGUCUUUUUGAACCAGGCUCUGAGACGCGCACACACCGCCCC
rnacentral:rRNA from 1 species